GCAAUGUAUUGGGGAUGUGAGACAGGAUAUGUGUUUUACCUUUCUUCAUGCUCCUGUUUAGAACAACUUGUCAGGUGGUGCAUUGGAGACUGAUGUGUUCCUGUCCUGUCUUUUCACAAUACUAUUGCAGAUCAACAUAAAAGCCUAAAAGACA